rnacentral:sRNA from 1 species
GGAGGAGCGCAUCACGGGCAUCAACGACCCUCGGCUGAGGAACCCCUCGGACAAGUUUAUCUACGCCACGGUGAAGCAGAGCUCCGUGGAUAUCUACUUCCGGCGCCAGGUGGAGCUGAGCACCAUGUACCGGCAUAUGGAGAAGCACAACUACGAGAGUGCGGCGGAGGCCAUCCAGGCCGUGAGAGACAACAAGCUGCAUGCCUUCAUCUGGGACUCGGCGGUGCUGGAGUUCGAGGCCUCGCAGAAGUGCGACCUGGUGACGACUGGAGAGCUGUUUUUCCGCUCGGGCUUCGGCAUAGGCAUGCGCAAAGACAGCCCCUGGAAGCAGAACGUCUCCCUGUCCAUCCUCAAGUCCCAUGAGAAUGGCUUCAUGGAAGACCUGGACAAGACGUGGGUUCGGUAUCAGGAAUGUGACUCGCGCAGCAACGCCCCUGCGACCCUUACUUUUGAGAACAUGGCAGGGGUCUUCAUGCUGGUAGCUGGGGGCAUCGUGGCCGGGAUCUUCCUGAUUUUCAUUGAGAUUGCCUACAAGCGGCACAAGGAUGCUCGCCGGAAGCAGAUGCAGCUGGCCUUUGCCGCCGUUAACGUGUGGAGGAAGAACCUGCAGGUAGGGCAGGCCACCCUCCGAGGCCUGGUGCCCAGGGCCCGGCCUGGCCACGGCCCUCCUCCAUCCCCGAAGGCCGUGGCACUGGCUCUGGCUCUGGUGGGCAGGACUGGAGCUAGGAGCCAUGGCCAGGGGCAGUGGUGAGUGCUCCCAGGGCACGGGGGCAGCACUGGUGGGGGGCUGCCUGCAGGUGGCUGCCCACUGCAAAGCCGGGGCCGAGGGAGGCCACGCACCCUG